rnacentral:lncRNA from 1 species
UGCUGCUAUUUAAAAGCACCAGUAAAUCAAAUAUUAUGAUGAUCACACAGCAACAGAUGAGUUUUGUUAGAAAGAGGAGUUGUUUAAGGGCUAACAUUAGCCACUUUUGUUCAUAUGUUUAUGUCGGAAUAAAUAACUGAUGAACUAUUAUGAAUAAACAACGAUUCACUCAUGAAAAACCUUUAACGUUAUGACGUUACACUGAAAUAUCCGAAAUGAUUACUUCGACUUAUGAAAGGUCGGCUCUAAAGGCUCUACAUCAGGGGCAUCCUCAAACUCGUCUUCCACUGAAGCUGCCAUCUUGCGCUCAAGUCAGUCGGAAUACACCAAUGCAGUAUCUGCACACUCCGCCAUUUUGGCUCAGCCAAGGAAGCGAGAACGCUAGUUAUAGAGGAAGAUUAGAUUCAAGAUGUCCUUUGUAGGGUGAACAGUUACGAACGGAAGUGGGAUGAUUACUUUGAUGACUCAGCCGGACUGUACCAAUCACUUUCACUGAACAAGAAUAUUCCAGAAGUGAUUUUCUUGUUGUUUUUAUUUAUGUGAAAUAGUUCUAAUAAGUAAAUACUUAUAACAUCAUA